UAAUUGAAGAGUUUGAUCAUGGCUCAGAUUGAACGCUGGCGGCAGGCCUAACACAUGCAAGUCGAGCGGUAACAGGGGAAGCUUGCUUCYCGCUGACGAGCGGCGGACGGGUGAGUAAUGUAUGGGGAUCUGCCCGAUAGAGGGGGAUAACUACUGGAAACGGUAGCUAAUACCGCAUAAUCUCUCAGGAGCAAAGCAGGGGAACUUCGGUCCUUGCACUAUCGGAUGAACCCAUAUGGGAUUAGCUAGUAGGUGAGGUAAUGGCUCACCUAG
rnacentral:rRNA from 1 species